UUGGAUGUAGCUCUGUGGUAGUGUACUUGCUUAGCAGGUAUGAAACCCUGGGUUUAAUCCCCAGCAUACACA
rnacentral:tRNA from 2 species